CUCAGAGACAAAUUGCAGGCGCUAUGAACCGGAGCAAGGACUAAUCUCGCCUCAUAAUGAGGCGGUGACCUCCUAUUUGCUCUGAGCAAUAUAUGCAAGUCCAGAUUUACACGAUGUUGAUAAAGACGACAUUGUGUCCGCUUGUAAGACGUAUUAUGAGAUGGUACGCAGGAGCUGAAGCUGCCAAGAGUUCAGCUCGGAGUCGAGCUAGAAGAAAGAGGCUGCUGGAAUCGAGGCAGAGUGUGCAGGCGGGUGAGGAAGUGGAACUCUGGAAGUCCGCCACCGUCGACCUCAUGUCUGGCGAAGAAGAUGGCGUCGUUGGCGGAGUCUCCGGAUGGAUUGUACGGCCGCCGUCAUUUCGUAGGGUUGUGCGCAAUUCUGUUCCCCCGUGAAAAUCUGUUUCCCCCGUGUCGGGAAUGCGCUU